rnacentral:sRNA from 1 species
UUCUAGCCCUGAUGGAAACGGCAUCCUUUAUAUUUUUUCUUUAAAAACAUAAAGAUAUAGUGUACAGCAGGAAAUAGC